UACGGAGGGUGCGAGCGUUGUUCGGAAUUACUGGGCGUAAAGCGCACGUAGGCGGAUUUGUAAGUCAGGGGUGAAAUCCCGGGGCUCAACCUCGGAACUGCCUUUGAUACUGCAAAUCUCGAGUCCGAUAGAGGUGGGUGGAAUUCCUAGUGUAGAGGUGAAAUUCGUAGAUAUUAGGAAGAACACCGGUGGCGAAGGCGGCCCACUGGAUCGGUACUGACGCUGAGGUGCGAAAGCGUGGGGAGCAAACAGG
rnacentral:rRNA from 1 species